GGUAACAUAGGUAACCUAACAUUAAUUAGCUUAAAAGAUAUCUGUAUACUCUGCAGGUUUUCCUCCAUUUAUGAGAUGGUUACACCCCAGUAGUGAAUAUCGUACUGGAUAUCGCUGGCCCAGGGUCUUUACAUGGAAAUCGAGGAUAUCCAAAUUUUACCAGUGACUUGAGGCCACACAACUGAGAGGACAAGAACUCGAAAAUUGGCUGCCACUCAGAGGACCUUCCCGUGUCCCUCCCUGACACGUCUCCUAUUCUCCCUGCCAGAGGUAACCAAUAUCCUGUUUUUUGGUUGAAAUAAUUUUUAAUAGUUUUUCCACCCGCAUUUGCAUCCCUAAACCACAUGAUUUCACUUUCUUUGCUUUGGAACUUUAU
ensembl:lncRNA